CCCCCUCCCUCCCGCCUCGCGCCUCGCGCCUCGCGCCGUGUCCGCUGCAGUGGCGCCCCCUGGCGCUGGCGAUGGCGGUCACGCGCCCUUUUCUCACGGCGUCCUUGUAAUCGCGGCGUUGGUAGUGAAGCUCCGCCUGAGGCGCUUCCAUGUGUCGCAUCGCUUUUAAAAAUAUUUGUACUGCAUGUACGUUUUUUAAAAAAGAAUCUAAAUUCAUCUAUCUGUGCACGAAGAUCUUCAGAAACCACAGAUUUAUUGUAGAAAGGUUUAACCCCCAAAUUGAAAACUGCCAUACAAACAGCAGGCGGUCUGUGUAUUCUCGCACACUGGUCUUUAUAAGAUCUGACACCAAGGCAUAAAAUCCGAUGGGAAGUUUUUUUUAUUCGAAUCAAAAGCAAUAAAGGAGCUGGUGAAUGGAGACAGUCCCAGCAUCUGGGCAGCAGCCUUCUGAAAGCAUAAAUAAUAUAAUGAGUCCUUGAAGACAAAAUGAGAGGCUGACUGGGGGGCAUGGAUUACUUUGGGAGAGCGGUACAAUUGGCGGUUGCCGUCUACUAACUGUACUGCUAUGGAUGGCGUUCGCAGACCUGCUCUUUGACGCCCCCUUGUGGUUAUAAGUGAGUUUUGGUCGUGCAGCGCGCUCCAACUGGAACAUCUGGCAUCCAGAGUGUGUGUGCCCAGACCGACAUAAUGAAAUGGCUGAAAAGGGAAGGAAGAAGCAGGAGGAAAGAGAUGUGUAGGAAGAGACUUAUGGUGAAUGACUGAUGGUUUAUGAGUAAGGUCGCGAUAUUUCCGUGGGCCAACCCAAAGGAAAGAAGGGGUGUCUACCUGGACAGAGGUGCAGGGACAGGAAAGGCAAGGCAGCCAAUCGCCCAGGACCCUCCAGCUGGGCUGAUUACAUCCCAUGAUUGUACAUAGUACAGUGCAGCAACAAAUCUGUUCCAUUUUGUGCAUUUUGUUUUUCACAGUUAAGAGAAAAUAAAGGAUUUGUGUUUAUUAAA